UACAGAGGGGGCAAGCGUUGUUCGGAAUUAUUGGGCGUAAAGCGCACGUAGGCGGCUUUGCAAGUCGGAUGUGAAAUCCCUCGGCUUAACCAAGGAAGUGCAUCCGAAACUGCAGAGCUUGAGUACUUAAGAGGAUCGCGGAAUUCCCGGUGUAGAGGUGAAAUUCGUAGAUAUCGGGAAGAACACCAGUGGCGAAGGCGGCUCACUGGUCCGGUACUGACGCUGAGGUGCGAAAGCGUGGGGAGCAAACAGG
rnacentral:rRNA from 1 species